GCCUGUAGCUCAGUGGUAGUGCAUAGGCUUAGCAUGCAGAAGGUCCCAGGUUCAAUCCCUGGCACCAGCA